CCAGAGGAAGGCUCGUCCGCUCUGGGUUAGUCGGGUCCUAAGCUGAGGCCGACAGGCGUAGGCGAUGGAUAACAGGUUGAUAUUCCUGUACCACCUAUAAUCGUUUUAAUCGAUGGGGGGACGCAGUAGGAUAGGCGAAGCGUGCGAUUGGAUUGCACGUCUAAGCAGUAAGGCUGAGUAUUAGGCAAAUCCGGUACUCGUUAAGGCUGAGCUGUGAUGGGGAGAAGACAUUGUGUCUUCGAGUCGUUGAUUUCACACUGCCGAGAAAAGCCUCUAGAUAGAAAAUAGGUGCCCGUACCGCAAACCGACACAGGUAGUCAAGAUGAGAAUUCUAAGGUGAGCGAGCGAACUCUCGUUAAGGAACUCGGCAAAAUGACCCCGUAACUUCGGGAGAAGGGGUGCUCUUUAGGGUUAACGCCCAGAAGAGCCGCAGUGAAUAGGCCCAAGCGACUGUUUAUCAAAAACACAGGUCUCUGCUAAACCGUAAGGUGAUGUAUAGGGGCUGACGCCUGCCCGGUGCUGGAAGGUUAAGAGGAGUGGUUAGCUUCUGCGAAGCUACGAAUCGAAGCCCCAGUAAACGGCGGCCGUAACUAUAACGGUCCUAAGGUAGCGAAAUUCCUUGUCGGGUAAGUUCCGACCCGCACGAAAGGCGUAACGAUUUGGGCACUGUCUCAACGAGAGACUCGGUGAAAUCAUAGUACCUGUGAAGAUGCAGGUUACCCGCGACAGGACGGAAAGACCCCGUGGAGCUUUACUGUAGCCUGAUAUUGAAAUUCGGCACAGCUUGUACAGGAUAGGUAGGAGCCUUUGAAACGUGAGCGCUAGCUUACGUGGAGGCGCUGGUGGG
rnacentral:rRNA from 1 species